rnacentral:rRNA from 1 species
GUACACUCUGAGCGGUGGAUCACUCGG